rnacentral:tRNA from 1 species
GCGGACGUAGCUCAAUGGUAGAGCCCUAGCCUUCCAAGCUAGCCACGCGGGUUCGAUUCCCGUCGUCCGCU